GGGUCAGUAGGUUGGUCGUGCCACCGGUACGUACUGGUCUCACUGAUUCCUCCUUCCGAAGAACCGUAAUGCCAUUAAUUUGGUGUUGCGGGGAAACAGGACUGUUACUUUGAAAAAAUUAGAGUGUUUAAAGCAAGCUAACGCUUGAAUACAUUAGCAUGGAAUAAUGAAAUAGGACGAUCGAUCCUAUUUUGUUGGUUUCUAGGAUUGACGUA
rnacentral:rRNA from 1 species